UUGGAGCCAACAGGAAGUCCUGGUGUUUAUUCUGCUCUGAUAGCCUCUAUUUAUUUUACCAUUCUGGAGUCAGCAGAUGCAUCCCUGGUCCUGUUUCUAAGAGAGUUGGAGUGUAUCUGGACUGGCCAGCUGGUACUUUGUCCUUCUAUAGUGUGUCCUCCUCUGGUACACUGACACACCUUUACACAGAACACACCACAUUCACUGAACCCCUCUAUCCUGGGUUUGGGUUGAGCGUUUUCUCUUCCUCAGUGACCCUGUGUCAGAUAGAUGAUCAACACAAUCAAAGCAGAGACCAUGGUGGAGAGUGUUGUAUCAAGCCUGGACCUGAGAAAUGGAUUCCUCAGAGCUGUAAGACUUGUGACCAUGUUGAGGACUCCACACACUGGCUUCAGAUUGAACCCUUGACUUCCACUGUCCAGGGAGUGACAAUCUUCAGG